rnacentral:rRNA from 1 species
UACAGAGGUCCCGAGCGUUGUUCGGAUUCACUGGGCGUAAAGGGUGCGUAGGUGGCAUGGUAAGUUUGAUGUGAAAGCUCAGGGCUCAACCCUGAAAUGGCAUUGAAUACUACUGUGCUGGAGGUUUGGAGGGGGGGACUGGAAUUCUUGGUGUAGCAGUGAAAUGCGUAGAUAUCGGGAGGAACACCAGUGGCGAAGGCGGCGAUCUGGGAAGAUACUGACGCUGAGGUGCGAAAGCGUGGGGAGCAAACAGG